AAGCAUUCGUGCAAAAACCAGAACCCACUGUUUUCCACGUUGCGUCUCUCUUCAACCAGUUUGUUGGUUUCUUUUCUAUUUUCUUGCAAUUGAGGGUUUGAAGAAGAUGAAACAUUAGCGGGAGAGUCACGGGAAGGAGAUGCGGUAGCUUUACCCUUCCCUUUAUCCACCGGGCCUUCUAUCUACUUUCGAUGUUUCGGUUUGUGUUUCAGGUAUCCUCGGAUCAUGUACUUUUGUGGCUGUUAUACAUACUCAAACAGUAUCAUGAUUAAUUUUAGGUCGUCGCUGCUUAACCUGUUGCUAAAUCAGGAAAUAAGGGUAUGCUGAUUAAUUCAAGCAUUGCUGCAUAAGUUUUUUUCAGGCUUCCCUUAUCUAUACGACUAUAUAGAUGUUUCACAAUAUCCAUAAAGCAGUGUCUUUUACACACCAGAGAUUGAUACAAAAUUAUGGCCAACUAGGCUAAUGCCAGUUGGUUAAUUAUCAGCAGAGUUAGUAAGUGCAUAAACUGGAAUAUACCAGCAAGACGUUCUUCUGUUGUUUCAGCACUCAUUGCAAGGUCAAACCUUUGAAUAGGAAGAGUGUUUUCAUCUGACCGGAGAUUCUAACCCACAAGCACUGUUACUUCUAAAAGCUUUUGUUUUGUUUGGUUUUCAAAGGGAAGCUGGAAAUGGGAUUGUUGAGAAAAGGAAAGAUUUGACCAUUUUGUUCGAGAAAACAAGAAUCGAAAAGAUGAGUGAUACAACCAGAAUUGUUUUGAGUGUGAAGGACGGCAGUACUGGGAUUACAAAGAUAUAACAGUUUGGUGGACUUUUUUUUUUUGGAAUAUAAAUACUGUAUAGGAGGCUCCGGUUGCCUCCGGUUGAAACACUAUAUAGUAAUCUACCUAUUAUCUUCCUUUGGCUUACUUCCCGAUAUCUUGAUUAAGUGUAAACUUCAUAACAUCUGCAUUGCCAGAGCAGACUGAGGAGAUAAUCGAUCAUGUCAUCUAUAAUUCGGAUUGGAGUUAAAAAUAAUUCAUUAGUUGUUAAGCUUGAUUCUUUACAGUAAAGGUGGUAUUUUAUGUGUAUAUGUGAAUCACUAACCAAUUUGAUGUUCA